rnacentral:rRNA from 1 species
UACGAAGGUGGCAAGCGUUGUUCGGAUUUACUGGGCGUAAAGGGAGCGUAGGUGGUUAGGUAAGCCCUCCGGGAAAUCUUCAGGCUUAACCUGAAAAGGUCGGGGGGGACUGCCUGGCUAGAGGACGGGAGAGGAGCGCGGAAUUCCCGGUGUAGCGGUGAAAUGCGUAGAUAUCAGGAGGAACACCGGUGGCGAAGGCGGGUCUCUGGGCCGAUACUGACGCUGAGGAGCGAAAGCGUGGGGAGCGAACAGG